UUAAUGAUUAAAGAAACGAGUACACUUUCCUUAGGAAGUAAAAGGGAGUGUUUAAAAGGGAAGUCAGCUUAAAUCUGACGCGGUCCCGCCACUGUGAUAGGGAGUAGCCUUACAACAUGUCACUGGAUUAAGGCAUAUGAAAGAAAAUUACGAGUCAAAGAUGCAAUGGAUAUUUUGCGUCAGACAAGGAGGUAUGUUUACCUCAUAGCGGGCUAUUAGGUGAACAUGCCGACGCAGUAUGAUACAAAAUAGACUUGCAUACUGACUUGUAAUUUUCUUGAAUGUGCCUAAUCUGGGAAGACGUAAGACUAUAAUGAACUAAAGCCAGGAAACCUGCUCGUCUUAGAAUUCACCU
rnacentral:ncRNA from 1 species